UAAAGGUCAUAUUUGGUAAGAUGAUGAGUUGAAAUUUUGAUCUUGAUCGCCGUUCUUCAUUCGUGUUUCGCUGUCACUUUCGGAUUUCAUGGAUCUUCUACUCCAUCAUGGUAAGACUUGAUUGAAUCCAUCUAAAGUCAUCCUAGAGCAUCUUGGUAAGUCUCUGAAAGUUUUGAUUCGUUAAAAAUUCAUAAUUCUUGAUUAAUAACGGGUUAGGGUUUAAUCAAUUCGUGUUUUGUGUUACUGUGUAGAACAGUAUGUUUGCGAAUUUCAAAUCUUUAGAUCUACACAUCCAAUUGAACUGAUUCUUGUCACGUUGGUUGUGUAUUGACGUCUAGUAUCUACAGUUAAGAAUUUAGGGCAAUGCAAUAGAUGGAUCUUUGUUAGGUCAAUUUUAGUGACAUAAGACCAAUUUAUCCAGAGCUUAAAAAAUUAGGUUAUUAGCUUCCGCACAAUCAUUCACUCCCAUCUAAUUGAUCUUUCUUUAUAGAGUUAUCAAUCCUACAUCAAGGAAAUAGGAGAAAAAAUAUUGGAGCUAAUCUUGAUAUUAUGUAUCUUUAUAUUUAUUUUCGUCUUGCAUGUAGUUAGUAUAUUUGUGUAGGCCGGUGUGGCUCAGCAUGAAGAGCAUUCAUGGACAUGGAGAGAUGCCGAUGUGCAGUGGGAGGCAUGAAUCGAUGCUGCCGCGUGAAUCGAUGCUGCAUACGAGAGCAAUGGAGCCAACAUAUUGCAUGAAUUAGUCUCUGAGUCAGAUUGUGGAGAAGCUUGUUGAUAUUGUAAUUUUUUUUACAUAAACAAAUCCGGGAUGCAGUCAAUGAAGCUGUUUCUGCAGGAACCGACUUCUUCGAUUCUGAGCAAGCCCAGAACAAAAGGCUGGGUCCCUGUGGUCUGGCACUACAUUAUGCUAACAUUAUCAAUCAGAUUGAAAAUAUAGUUUCUCGGCCACUCUCUCUUUCUCCUAGUGCUAGGGACAAUUUAUACCAUGGUCUGCCAAUAACAGUAAAGUCAGCUCUGCGAUCACGAUUGCAAUCAUUUAAUACCGAUGAAGAG